rnacentral:pre_miRNA from 1 species
ACAACAUUCGGACCGUCGGUCUACCGAGCAAUAUAACCCGCUCGGUGGAAGAUCCCUUUGUCGU